rnacentral:lncRNA from 1 species
CUGAUCCUCAGCGCGGGCCACAGGUGGAGGCAGGCUUGGUGCAGGGCUGCUUUUGAAGGUCUGAACCACCUUGGUAAUCUGACUAAAAAAGCUGAUGUUGCCUGCUCCAGUACUGGCGGCCAUUGGUGCUGGCAGCGGUGCAGCUGGCUGCGGUGGUGGUAGCCCUGCAAGCAAAAGACCAAUUCCUGUGACACUCUGCUAUAGAUAUUGCCAGCUGUGCACACAGUGAUGAUAAGGUACUCGCUCUGUGCGGUUUAGUCGAGGGGCAUUGCUGUGCUGCAACAAAGGCAGUGGUUAGAAGAUACCUGGAGUGAUGUCCAUUGCCACUGGAACACUGUCCUCCGCCGCUGCUUGUGCGCCAGAGCCCUGCUUUGAACAUCAAGGUUGGUUCAGCGGCAUGCGCUAGCUGCAGGAACAAGCGGAUUAAUGACGUCCUACCCUUCAUGUUCUGCUCUUAUGCAUCUUGCAGGUGGAGAUUGACCCCUCUUCAGGUUCAUGUCUACAAACCCUGGGUGCAGAUGUACAGCAAUACCCGUACACUUUGUGCUACAGCUAAUGUGGCGACACUGCUUCCAACACACACUCCAUCGCGCACACAGGACAGCAGCAAUGUCUGCAGUAGGGCGUAGCCAGCACAAGGCUCACCUCCAUUAUUGGCGCCAGUACCGGCUCAGAGCAAGUUUUGAUCACAACUGCCGGCUCCAAUCCCUCAAGUGGUAGGCCCUGUUCGGCAGGUCCUGGUGCCAUGACUCCGUCCUCAAUCGUAAUCUUGGGAGCGGUGGGCCU